CCAAAAUCCACCCCCCAUUCAUGAAGACUCAGUUCCACAUUUCCGGCAGCAUGGGCGAGAUCCCAUCCGACGUAACAGCCCUAAAGACAACAAAAACGAAGAAUGAAACAAAGUUUCGUUGCACAAAGGAUUGUCAAUGAAGUAUACCGCAGUGAUGGCGACAUUUUUCCAGAAGCAUUAUGGAACUCAACGACUUUCUGUGUGACCGUUUGAAGAUCAUGGCUGAAGUACCAGACACUGCCCGGCAUUAUGUUGAGUGUGUCACAUGCAGAAAUUAAUCCAUGUUCUAUUGCAACACUUGCCAACAGCGAAUGUAUGAACAAUGCAGAGAGGUCCAUCUAAGGAAAAAAGGAAAUCCAACACAUAUAGUGGUUCUGUAUCAGGAAAGAAAUAAAAA